rnacentral:rRNA from 1 species
UCAGUAACACGUAGUCAACCUGCCCUGGAGACGCGGACAAACCCGGGAAACUGGGGCCUAUCCGCGAUAGAUGACCUCAUCUGGAAGGAGAGGCCGUCGAAAAGGGCGCACGGGUAUGCUCUGUGCGAACCGCUCCAGGAUGGGACUGCGGCCGAUCAGGCUGUUGGCGGGGUAAUGGCCCACCAAACCUGUAACCAGGUACGGGCUUUGAGAGAAGGAGCCCGGAGAUGGACACUGAGACAAGGGUCCAGGCCCUACCGGGGCGCGUCAGGCAGACGAAAACUUCGCAAUGCGCGAAUAGCGUGACGAGGCUAGUCCGAGUGCUUCCUGCUAAAGGGAGCUUUUUCUCGGACUGUAAAUAGCCCGGGGAAUAAGGGGAGGGCAAGUCUGGU